ensembl:lncRNA
UAUGAGACAUGUCUGUUUAGAAAAAUUUUUUGUAUUAUUUUCAGCAUUUCCUUAGCUUUGCUUGCUGUCUUUGGCAUUUUUAAAUCAUACUGCCCUUACUGCAUAGAAAUAUUCUCAGUCACUUAAAAUGUUACUUAUAUAAAUUAAUUAACUUGACGUUUCAGUGAUUCAAGACUAAAAAUUAUCUAGCAUCAUUCACAUUUUGCAUAUUACAUUUGGGCCUUGAAACAUUUACAAGAAUGAGAAAAUGACCCUUGAAGUGCUUGAAAACUUUGACCUAUUCCAUCCAAAAACUCCUUCAGAUUGGAAGGAAUACCUUUACUUGGGGGCAUGUCAAUUCGUUUUUCUCACUUCAGCUUCAUCUUUAUGACUUCUUGAGGACAGAUCUAAUUCUAAAGUAACCAGAAGCCUGACCAUCUCAGAGCAGCAAAUCUCUCAGCCUUGGAACACAAAUGAUCUCUGAUACAGUCUGCGUAAAAUCAUCUUCCUCUAUCUGACAGCCAUGAGCAGAGCCUUGGGGGUAAAAACAGCCACAGCCUUAAAUCUCUUCACUCAGAAACUACCAUGAAUAUAAAAUAAAUAGAUGGAAAGUACUAAACAAGAAGCCAACAAAACAUAAACACCAAACCAACUCAUCUUGUUUCACUAUGGAAAUAAACUGUUCCCAGAUGUGAGACCAACAAAAUUAAUAUUAAGCAAUUAAACCAGUAAAUUAUAAACUGAUUUACCAUUUGGGAAGAUUAAAGUAUAGAGAGAUGAGGUACUUCUAGCCAGAAUUACACAUCAUUUCAAAAUAUGUAGACAAAAGAAAACAAAAAACAAAAACUGAAUGAACAGAGAAACAUUGCAGCAAUGAACAGUCUUAGGACGAAUGUUGCUUUUUCCAGACAGAGAGUGUUCGCCAUCUUGUGUAUAGCCUCAAAGCCAUCCUGAGAUAAUAGCAUUGUUGUCAAUUGCUUGAAAAUUUUUCACAUUCAAUCCUUCACCCUAUAUUGGUUGGAAGAGGGGGGAAGUCAGUUCUUACUGAUUACUUCUCAGUGAACUUCUAAUAUUUGCAC